GACGAACGCUGGCGGCGUGCUUAACACAUGCAAGUCGAACGGAAAGGCCCUGCUUUUGUGGGGUGCUCGAGUGGCGAACGGGUGAGUAACACGUGAGUAACCUGCCCUUGACGUUGGGAUAACUUCAGGAAACUGGGGCUAAUACCGGAUAGGAGCUCCUGCUGCAUGGUGGGGGUUGGAAAGUUUCGGCGGUUGGGGAUGGACUCGCGGCUUAUCAGCUUGUUGGUGGGGUAGUGGCUUACCAAGGCGUUGACGGGUAGCCGGCCUGAGAGGGUGACCGGCCACCUUGGGACUCAGAUACGGACCAGACUCCUACGGGAGGCAGCAGUGGCGAAUAUUGCACCCUGGGCGGCAGCAUGAUGCCGCACCGCCGCGUGCGGGAUGACGGCCCUCGGGUUGUCAACCGCUUUCGCAUGUGACUGAGCGUGAGUGCCGGUAAUCGGUAAAGAAGCCCCGGCUAACCACGUG
rnacentral:rRNA from 1 species